CCUGUCCGGGAGGCGCCUGCGCACUUGGCGGCGCGCUGGGCUCGCAGACUCCCUCCGGAGGGCUGUUCCUCUGGCAAAACCGCACUUGCGGUGUUCACGGUCGGGGCUCUGCGACAUGCUCCGCACAGAGGCCCAGCCGGCAGCCCCACCUUUCAGCGUUGGGUUUUCCGCUCCCCCGCCCCCGCGCCGCCCUCCGCCGCCUCCCUAGCGACGCCCCUGGCGUAAAGCCCGCCCCCGGCACGCGCCGAGCCGCCACUUCCGCCCUCGCUCUGCACUGAGCAAGAUGGCUGAGGAGUCGGAGUCCGGGCUGCAGCUCCCUCCCUCGACUGCUGCUGAGGGCGAAGGACCUACGGAGGUCUCCCCAGAAACAGCCACUCCGGAGCCCCCUUCUUCCGCCGCCGUCUCCCCGGGAACAGAGGAACCUGCUGGCGACACCAAGAAAAAAAUUGAUGUCCUCUUGAAGGCUGUGGGAGACACCCCUAUAAUGAAAACAAAGAAGUGGGCUGUAGAGCGAACCCGAACCAUUCAAGGACUCAUUGACUUCAUCAAAAAAUUCCUUAAGCUUGUGGCCUCUGAACAGUUGCAACAGAGAAGUAUCAAGGUCAAAUUCCAUACAAUGUUGUAAGAAAGAAAAGUAACAUUCCUAAAGACAAUGAAAGAAUGCCAGAAAGAUGCGCGUCUGAUAAAGUUUAUUUAUGUGAAUCAGUCCUUUGCCCCCUCCCCAGACCAGGAAGUUGGAACCCUCUAUGAGUGUUUUGGCAGUGAUGGUAAACUGGUCCUACAUUACUGCAAAUCUCAGGCAUGGGGAUGAAGUGCAGAGAAAAAGCUCUUGCUACCCAAAUGAAUCUUCACAAAGGAAACAGCUCUGGGAAAAGUUUUCAUCCUUGUGACAAGAGACUUGUGUAUGUGAUCUACUCAGCAUGUAUCUACUAUGAAUCGUGUUUAUGCAUAAAGAAAUUCAUAGAGUAGAUGGACUCACAAAAAUGUGAUUUGUAUUAAUACACAAAUCAUCAUAAAAGAUUGGCUUUACAGAAUACCUGUUACUACAACAAUUGCCCCAGAUUGGCCACCAAGGUAUUGAAAAAGGAGACUAAGACUGUAGAAAGCUUCUUUGUUACCAAUUCUUAGUGACUGAAAUUGUUUACUUGUAGAAAGAACACUCUGCUGAUUUUUUUCCACUGUAAAAGUCAGUUUACUAAAGGAUUCUUUUUGUGCAUAUUCAAGGCAGUUCAGUUUGUUUGAAGAAUAGGAUAUGCCUUUUCUCAUGUUAGGAAACAGGCCUUUGACCUGCUGGCUUUGUAUCUUAACACAGUCCAGUAGGGGGCAGCCUAGCCGGCAGAAGGAGUUAAGCAGUUUGGUUUUUGCCAGAUGAUCAUGGAGGAAAAAAGUGGUUCUUGCUAAUUUCUAGCAAACAUCUAGCUAAGAGAGCACACAUGUUGAUGCACUGGAAAGCUGCUUUAGAGAAUAUGCGUGAUUUAGAGUUAUUUUAUUGGGAAACAAAGAAUUUUAGAAAUUCUUGAUAAUUGAGUCAUACAAUUCUUUUCAGUCCUAUAAUCAUUUAAAAAACUGUGAGUCCUAAUGAUUGUAACUAUGGUGUUGUUUUGUGUCUUAUUUUUACAGUGUCAAAAGAACUCAACUAGUAAACCUGGCAACAUCUUUUGAGUUUUUUAUAAUUUGUUUUCUAACUUGAAAACCCUCAAAUAAUUGGAUUUUCUUAGAUUCUAUGUGUGUUUCAUGCUAUGGCUAAAAGUCCCAUUUUCCCCUGAUGGCUGUUAGUUUGGUAAUUGCUUCAAGUGAGAUUCUGUAUUAUAUCAUUGUGUAUUAUAAUGGUGAUGCAGCAUUUCAACAGCAUUCCAAUAAAUGGAAUGUCCAAACAGGACAUCUACAUCUAAGAUGUA